AGUUUUCAGUUAGCAGCCUAACUUAAAGGCUGACGGCUGGUGAUUUUUUGAUCACCAGCCU
rfam:Providencia burhodogranariea DSM 19968 genomic scaffold scaffold00003, whole genome shotgun sequence.